GAAGGCUGAGAGGCUGGCUCAGCUCCCAGCCGGACGGGCUGGUGACCGGGCUCUUUCAACUUCUCUCCCUCAGUUCCCUAUCUGUGAAAUGGGAACGUCCUCCAGCUGUCCUGCCUCACCCGCCCCUGCCCCCAUGGGAAUGCCACGAAGGGGAAACGGCGCUUUCAGAAAGGUCGGUCACCAAAACGUCAGACACAGCAUUAUCUGAAAAGCAAAGGUGAAGAAACCGAGCUCAGAGGGAUGCAGCGUCUCUGGAAGGCUGUGCCAGGUACUCACAACUCUAGGGUACUGAUGUGAUGAACGAGUCAAGUUCCUGUCCUCAUGAAGCAUACUUCCUAGAGAGGGAAAGACAGACAGUGGGCAAGCAAGGAAAGAAGAUCAUUCACAUAGU